rfam:Hordeum vulgare subsp. vulgare, WGS project CAJW01000000 data, contig: morex_contig_86486
CAAGUACUCCCUCCGCCCGGAAAUACUUGUCGGAGGAAUGAAUGUAUUUAGAUGUAUUUAUUUCUAGAUACAUCCAUUAUUAUUCACUUUUGUGACAAGUAAUUCCAGACGGAGGGAUUAAUUA